rnacentral:rRNA from 1 species
UACGGGGGGAGCAAGCGUUGUUCGGAAUCACUGGGCGUAAAGGGAGCGUAGGCGGCGUGGUAAGUCAGAUGUGAAAUCCCGGGGCUCAACCCCGGAACUGCAUCCGAUACUGCCAUGCUAGAGGAUUGGAGAGGUAGCUGGAAUUCUUGGUGUAGCAGUGAAAUGCGUAGAGAUCAAGAGGAACACUCGUGGCGAAAGCGAGCUACUGGACAAUUCCUGACGCUGAGGCUCGAAGGCUAGGGUAGCGAAAGGG